GCUUUUAUUGACUCGAUGGCACAUCUCGCAAGCAUACAAAACAAGAAGCUAUGGACACUAGGACCGAUUCAGCUCCCCAUACAAGAUCUUGCUAUCCUAACCGACCACCUAUGUUUGGAUUGGCUAAACAAACAACCUCCAAAAUCAGUUCUUUAUGUAUCUUUUGGAACGUCCACUUCAUUUUCAGCUGAACAAAUCAAGGAGAUUGCAAUUGGUUUAGAGCUAAGCAAACAGAGGUUCAUAUGGGUAUUGAGAAAUGCUGAUAAAGGAGAUCCCGUUACUAAUAAAUGCGAAGAUAACAGAACAGUACUACUUGUGUUGCCUGAAGGAUUUGAGGAAAGGGUAAAAGGCGUGGGCUUAGUGGUGAGAGACUGGGCACCCCAACAAGAAAUCUUGGCUCAUUCUUCUACCGGUGGAUUCAUGAGUCAUUGUGGCUGGACUUCUUGCUUAGAAAGCAUUAUUGCAGGAGUGCCAGUAGCUGCUUGGCCUAUCCAAUUUGACCAACCAAAAAACAGUUUUUUGCUCGCAGAAAUAUUGAAAAUAGGGAAAUUCUGAGAUCAAACACUAAUUUGGAAUUGUAAUUAAAAUUAAGUUAAAAAAUAUCUGAAAAAAGGGAAAAAUUCUCUGGUCAAAUGAGCACUAAGAAUAAUAAGUAAAUAAAUUUAAUUUUACCGGGUAAAAAUUAUGCAAUUUUUACGUUGAAUAAAUAAAUAAGAUGAAUAAUUAGAAAAUAAAGGCCUUGAAUAAUAUGUGAAGAGUACUUCAUGUGAUGUAUAUAUGUCAUGCAAACUUUUACAUUGAAUAGAUAAAUAAGACAAAUAAUUAGAAAAUACGGGCCUUGAAUAAUACACCCUCCGUUCAUAAUAAAUAAAUUGUUGAAUUUUGACGCACAUAUUAAGAAAAAAACAUUAAAGAUAUAAAUUUAACACAAUUUUUUAUUUUUAUCCCACAAAAAAAAUUGAUCUUUUAAUACCUUUUCAAAAGUUAAUUGGUUUUCAAAUCAUAAGGGUAAAUUUGAAAAAAAAUUAAGGAAAAAGUAUUAAAGACAUAAAUUUAACACAACUUUUCAUUUUUAUCCAAAAAAAAAAAGUUGGAUCUUUUAAUAUCUUUUCAAAAGUUAAUUGAUUGUUAAAUCAUAAGGGUAAAUUUGAAAAAAAAAUCAAUGAUUCAUUUAUUUUGAAAUAUUAAUAAAUACCCCAAUAAUUCACUUAUUUUGAAACGAAGGGAAUAGAUAAAGAAGAGUACUUCAUGUGAUGUAUAUAUGUUAUGGAAUUUCUUACAUUGAAAAGAUAAAUAAUUACUCUGCCUAUUAAAAAAUAAUGAUCGAUUUUUAUUUUUAAUAUGUUUUAAAAAAAAAAGAUUUUUUUUAACGACUCUUUAAUUUAAUUUUUUAGUAGAAAUAUUUAAAAUCAUAAAAUUAAAAAACAUUUAAUAUAUUUAAUAUCAUUUUAAUUUGACAUUAUAAAAUUUAUUUUUUUAAAGUUCAUGUCAAGUUAAGAAAAAAAAAAGUCAUUCUUUUUUAAAUACAGGGGAAGGAGUAAAAAAAAGUAAGCGAAUACUUCAUGGGCCGGAUGAAAGUAAGCGAAUACUUCAUGGGCCGGAUGUAUACAUGAUGAAUGUGAAUAGGUGCGUAAAUUUCUAUAUAAAUCCUUGGUAAGAGCAACCCACUCUAUUCAAAAAUUUCCAAGAAAUAAAACAAUAUAUAGCUAGCUUGGCUGUAGGUUUGAUAUUCAUGGAUAACAGAGAGAGUAUUGUUGCAAACCAAGAGGAACUAAAAGAAGAUGAUGUUGCUGUAGUUAUAGUCCCAUUAAUUCUUCAAAGCCAUCUCCGACAGCUUCUCCAUUUGGCCUGCCGAAUCUCCUCCUACGGUCUACCAGUCUACUAUCUUGGCUCAGCCACCUCCAACAGUCAAGCUAGGCUCCGGUCAACUACCUUAAAUCCUUCUGACAUAGCCAAGAUCCACUUCCAUGACCUCCAAUUUGAUACUCAAGAUCCUCCUCCAGAUAUCCCCAUACAUGUUUGGAAUGCUUCUAUGCGUUCACGUGAGCCCAUUGCUUCCUUCCUUCGAGAUAUCUCGUCUAAGGUAAGACGAGUCGUCGUUAUUCACGAUCUUUUAAUGUCUUAUAAUAUUAUGGAUAUUUCUUCCCUUCCCAAUGGAGAAUCCUAUGUAUUCUACUGCCUUCCCAUUUUCGAUAUGUAUUGUAGUCACUACGCUGCAGUAGCGGGGUUGCCCAUUCCACUUGAAGAAGAACUUCUUAAGAAGUUACCAUCUAAUGAUGGAUGUUACAACCCUGAAGAUGUCAUGCACCAUUCAAAACUUCUGUCACAGUGUACAGGCUUCAACGCCGGUGAUAUCUACAAUACAAGCCAAGUAAUUGAAGGUAAUGCUUUUAUUGACUCGAUGGCACAUCUCGCAAGCAUACAAAACAAGAAGCUAUGGACACUAGGACCGAUUCAGCUCCCCAUACAAGAUCUUGCUAUCCUAACCGACCACCUAUGUUUGGAUUGGCUAAACAAACAACCUCCAAAAUCAGUUCUUUAUGUAUCUUUUGGAACGUCCACUUCAUUUUCAGCUGAACAAAUCAAGGAGAUUGCAAUUGGUUUAGAGCUAAGCAAACAGAGGUUCAUAUGGGUAUUGAGAAAUGCUGAUAAAGG
rnacentral:lncRNA from 1 species